AUUGAACGCUGGCGGCAGGCCUAACACAUGCAAGUCGAACGCGUGGCGGACGGGUGAGUAAUGUCUGUGAAACUGCCUGAUGGAGGGGGAUAACUACUGGACACGGUAGCUAAUACCGCAUACCAUCAGAUGUGCCCAGAUGGGAUGAUCUAGUGGGUGGGGUAACGGCUCACCAAGGCGACGAUCCCUAGCUGGUCUGAGAGGAUGACCAGCAACACUGGAACUGAGACACGGUCCAGACUCCGACGGGAGGCAGCAGUGGGGAAGAUUGCACAAUGGGCGAAAGCCUGAUACAGCCAUGCCGCGUGUAUGAAGAAGGCCUUCGGGUUGUAAAGUACUUUCAGCGGGGAGGCGUUACCCGCAGAAGAAGCACCGGCUAACUACGUGCCAGCAGCCGCGGUAAUAC
rnacentral:rRNA from 1 species